UAUGUUGUGACACAGUAUACCAGCCAAUGAUAGGAAGUUGGACACAGCACAUGGCUGAGGUCAGCCUGGUGACAGAGCAUAAAGCAAUCUGAGCAAAUGCACAAUGGACUAUAGGUGGAUGGAUUGUGGGUGAAUCUGAAUGGAUUUAAGCUCAGCCAGCCGGAAGUCCGGCUUUUUGGCUUCUGCUUCUUCUGGUCAGAUGCUUCUCAGCAGAGGGUGAUCAAUGUGCCCAUCAUGGCUUCCUCUCCUGGGAACUGAACACAUGUGACUCAGCUAGCUGCCACCAGGUUCCAGAUGCUACCAUGAUGCUAACCAGAUUUCCCUGGACAGACAACCCCACCAAUAUGUCCUGGAGCUCUGCUUCCUCAAAUCCCUGCCCCAUUUGGGAAAGAGAGAGAGACAGAUUGGGAGUAUGGACUGACCUGUCAAUACCCAUGUUCAAUGAUGAAGCAAUUACAGAAGCCAGACCUUCCAUCUUGUGCACCCCAUAAGGAUCCUGGGUCCAUACUUCCAGAGGGUUAAAGAAUAGGAAAACUAUCAGGGGAGGAGAUAGGAUAUGAAGUUCUGGUGGUGGGAAUUGUGUGGAAUUGUACCCCUUUUAUCCGCUGGUCUUGUCAGUAUUUCCAUUUUAUAAAUAAAAAUUUUAAAAAAGA